rnacentral:rRNA from 1 species
UACGGAGGGUGCAAGCGUUAUCCGGAUUUACUGGGUUUAAAGGGAGCGUAGGUGGGUCGGUAAGUCAGUGGUGAAAAUCUUCGAGCUUAACUCGGAAACUGCCAUUGAUACUAUCGAUCUUGAAUUAUCUGGAGGUAAGCGGAAUAUGUCAUGUAGCGGUGAAAUGCUUAGAUAUGACAUAGAACACCCAUUGCGAAGGCAGCUUACUACGGAUAUAUUGACACUGAGGCUCGAAAGCGUGGGGAUCAAACAGG